rnacentral:rRNA from 1 species
AUUGAACGCUGGCGGCAUGCUUUACACAUGCAAGUCGAACGGCAGCGCGGGCUUCGGCCUGGCGGCGAGUGGCGAACGCGUGAGUAAUACAUCGGAACGUGCCCAGUAGUGGGGGAUAGCUCGGCGAAAGCCGGAUUAAUACCGCAUACGACCUGAGGGUGAAAGCGGGGGAUCUUCGGACCUCGCGCUAUUGGAGCGGCCGAUGGCAGAUUAGCUAGUUGGUGGGGUAAAGGCCUACCAAGGCGACGAUCUGUAGCUGGUCUGAGAGGACGACCAGCCACACUGGGACUGAGACACGGCCCAGACUCCUACGGGAGGCAGCAGUGGGGAAUGUUGGACAAUGGGCGAAAGCCUGAUCCAGCAAUGCCGCGUGUGUGAUGAAGGCCUUCGGGUUGUAAAGCACUUUUGGCGGGAACGAAAAGGACUGUGCCAAUACCACGGUUCGAUGACGGUACCCGCAGAAUAAGCACCGGCUAACUACGUG